UGUGUGUGUAGUGUGUGUAUAUAAUGCAGUGCGUUUGUAUAGUGUGUGUAUAUAAUGCAGUGUGUAUUUGUGUGCAUUGUAUACACACACUAUACAAACACACUGCAUUAUAUACACACACUACACAAAC